rnacentral:tRNA from 1 species
GGAGAUGAAGUUCAGUAGUAGCAUACUUGUCUAACAAGUACAAGCUGCUGGGUUCAAUUCCCAGUAUCCCUA